rnacentral:rRNA from 1 species
AGGGUGUAAACGCUGCAGACUUGGUGUUGGGAACCCUUCGGGGGUGCUCAGUGCCGGAGAGAAGUUGUUAAGUCUGCUACUUGGGGAGUACGUCCGCAAGGAUGAAACUUAAAGGAAUUGGCGGGGGAGCACCGCAACGGGAGGAGCGUGCGGUUUAAUUGGAUUCAACACCGGAAAACUCACCAAGGGCGACUGUUACAUGAAAGCCAGGCUAAUGACCUUGCUUGAUUUUCAGAGAGGAGGUGCAUGGCGUCAGUGACU